AUAUUACUGGUAUUUAUGAUACCGACCUGAGAAAGCAGGGAAUCUAUCCCCUCGAGUUGAGGCUUAGGUAAAUACAGCAAUGCAGUUCGGUGCUCCACCUUUGCUGUUUUAGACCCACCGUGGGGCAGGGCUGGGGAGGCGUAUGACUGGGCGGCCCCGGGAGGUGAAUAACUAAGGAGACGAAUUUCAAGGUGAAGUCUUUCCUCUUGGCUUACAACCCGCGGAGAUUAUAACGACAACAACUUGUGUAGAAUGAGAUUGGCGGGUCAAACUGACCUUCGUUUAGUCACCACCGCCGCCGCCGCCACCGCCACCGCCGCCGCCGCCGCCAGCACUACCACCAGCACCAUCACCGGCACCACCAGCAGAAAUGAUCUGUGAACAAUAGGUCGGUGGAUCAAACUGACCAGGGGACACACCACACCGGCACCAUCGACAGCAUCAAAGAAGAGGGCCCUGCCGUUUUUGUCACCACACGCCAGCCUAGAGGGCGCAAUGUGUGACUAUUAUCGGAGAGGUCAACAGUUGAAGCACUUUCUGUCAGGAGCGAGAAUACUUAAUUUCACAAAUAGCUCAGUCUGCCUAGCUGUAAAUUUGUGUAACGCAAACCACCCUGCAACCCAACCACCAAUUUUAAGUGGCGGUAGCAGUAUAAACUUAACGAGUGUUUCCUUACGUUGUUCGGAGGGUAUCCUUGAGUAUGAGAAACACUAAACGCGACACUAGUUUCUCCACACCCGAGCAUUCCUUAGCAACACACUCAAUAACCCCCACUGCCAUCCCACUUCACCGCAAUAUUGUGCCAAUAUUUGAAACCAAUAUAUUACUGGUACUUUUAUAAAAUUGCUGUAGUCUCAGGAAGUGAUGCCAUCGACUGUAAUUUGAACACGGAAUCUAUACCACACCGAAUUUAGCAGAAGAAGACAAAAACGGAAAAAAAGGAAUGCAAGAAACAGCAGGAAAAAAGCGAAGAUAAAGAAUUCAGCUAUUGCAUUCUGGGAAAGUUAUCAGUCUAAAAGAUGCACUACAAUAGUUGCUAAUCAAACAUUGAGUGCAGACAAAUUUUACUCCGUACGUUGCAACGGCGUUCCUGCGAUUUCAUUAGAAGACGAGGAUUACACAAUACCACCAUUCCUUAACUGGAGCCAAAAUAUUGAUACCUGUUUGCUUCAAAUUCAACAUUUCUGCCAAAGAACAAACUGCCUAUCUCGCUACCAGAAACACAGAAAUUGAAAGCUGAGAAACAUUCCUUCUCUCUUCAGAAGUAGCAACGUAUGCUAAGCUAACGGUGCCGCAAAUAUUGCAUUCAGAAAAUUACAUAACGAUGUAGAGGCAAGAAGACAUCCUGCUUAGCACCGACUUAAGAUGUGAAAUAAUCCAGCCUCUGCCCACACCUCACGACCUUGUGCAUCUUUAAUUAUAUUCAUUGGUAGCGAAUUAUCUACAGUAAUAUUAUAUAACAUCACCCCGUCCCUAGCAGAAACUCCCUUUUACAGAUCCUCUAAUUGUUACGUGUUGAGAGUUUAUAUUUACUUGUCAGGAAUAUCAUGUUUAUCUCUACAAUACAAAUACGCAGACUUGACUAUGUUUACGAAAAAUGUGGUUUAAAAAGUGAGUUUAAUUGCUUUACUGUAAUACUGUAAUGAAGUUAACCACUAGAGAUGAACAUGCGUGUGUGUCUCGUUCUGUGUAUAUUUCUUUGUGUGUGUGUGUGUAUGUAUGUAUGUAUGUAUGUAUGUAUGUAUGUGUGAAGAUUUAGAUGCGUGUUUACACGAAUGUAACUAUGUAUUUGUAUAAAUUAUUGAAUAAACAAAAAAAUAUUAAAGAUAUGAACAAUUUCAAUCAUGACUCAAGCGUAUUUGUCUGAUCUUUAGGAA